rnacentral:rRNA from 1 species
AGGACGAACGCUGGCGGCGUGCCUAACACAUGCAAGUCGAGCGGAGUCAGUAAGAGGAAGUUUCGGAUGGAAUCUGUUGAUUAGCGGCGGACGGGUGAGUAACGCGUGAGCGACCAACCUUGCACAGGGGGAUAACGGACCGAAAGGUUCACUAAUACCGCAUGAGACCACGGUGUUGCAUGACACAGGGGUCAAAGGAGCAAUCCGGUGCAAGACGGGCUCGCGUCCGAUUAGGUAGUUGGAGGGGUAACGGCCCACCAAGCCUAUGAUCGGUAGCCGACCUGAGAGGGUGAUCGGCCACAUUGGAACUGAGAUACGGUCCAAACUCCUACGGGAGGCAGCAGUGGGGAAUAUUGGGCAAUGGGGGGAAACCCUGACCCAGCAACGCCGCGUGAAGGAAGAAGGUUUUCGGAUUGUAAACUUCUGUCCUUGGUGAAGAGAAGAAGACGGUAGCCAAGGAGGAAGCCCCGGCUAACUACGUGCCAGCCGCCGC